rfam:Streptobacillus moniliformis DSM 12112, complete genome.
CCCUCUAUUCCGUUAGAGGUAGCCUAAUACCACCUGCUUUAUCAGCAAUGAUAAUGUUUGGAAGCUGGUAUGAUAAUGUAGCCCUCCACGAAAGUGGUAAAGUCGAAGCCGUGAGGCUAAGGUGAAUCUGCUAGCAGCAAUGCGGUUAGGGAG